GACGAACGCUGGCGGCGUGCUUAACACAUGCAAGUCGAGCGGUAAGGCCCUUUCGGGGGUACACGAGCGGCGAACGGGUGAGUAACACGUGGGUGACCUGCCCUCAGCUCUGGGAUAAGCCUGGGAAACCGGGUCUAAUACCGGAUAUGACUCCAUGGCGCAUGUUGUGGGGUGGAAAGCCUUGUGCGGCUGAGGAUGGGCCCGCGGCCUAUCAGCUUGUUGGUGGGGUGAUGGCCUACCAAGGCGACGACGGGUAGCCGGCCUGAGAGGGCGACCGGCCACACUGGGACUGAGACACGGCCCAGACUCCUAC
rnacentral:rRNA from 1 species